rnacentral:lncRNA from 1 species
GCACCAUGUUUUUGUUUGUUCUCUUGGCCUUGGUCAUGGAAUAUAAGCAUUAACAACCUUAGUAAUAGAAAAGCAUUCUACUCUUGAUCAAACAAACUCAAAAUUCAAGAAACGCUUCCUUAGAUCGUAACUCUAAUCGUCGGGUGAAUUCACAUUUCAAUUGAGAUCUUAAACCUAUGUUUAAGGUAUCUGAUAAACUUGUCUAUCAAAUCUUCAUGAUAAUUGAGAAUAUCAACUACCUGCAAGAUAUAUUAGAACCAAAUUUAUCUUCUUCUCUAUAGUAAUACUCCCUCUACAAAAGUAUAGAUAUAGCCAAAAUGAUAUAGGUGGGGCCUACAGAUACAUAAGCAGUGGCCAGUGAGUUGCUCUUUAACAAGAGAGAUAAACAAGCGGUCCCUUCUCAAGAC